CAGAUUUUGUACCCUUUAGAAUUCCUGUGGAUCAGUCUGAUCUGUCUUUAAGAAAGCUGGAGUAGCUAACGAAAGAGCUGCAAUCCCUUCAGAAGGAGAAGAGUGAUCGGCUGAAGCAAGUCAUGGAACAUCCUAACACUUUGCAUUCGUUAUGCGAGGUGCUUGGUGUAGACUUCAAACAAACAGUAAAUGAGGUGCACCCUAGCCUGGGUGAGGCUGAUGGAUCAAAGAACCUAAGCAACUGUACAAUUGAAAGCCUUGCAUCAGCUGCAAGCAGACUGCGUGAAUUGAAAGUCAAGAGGAUGCAAAAGCUUCAAGAUUUGCCUCUAGCAUGCUUGAACUUUGGAAUCUCAUGGAUACACCACUUGAAGAACAGCAUAUGUUCCAGAAUGUAACGUGCAAUAUUGCUGCUUCUGAACAUGAAAUAACUGAGCCUAACACCCUCUCUAUUGACUUCCUCUGCUACGUGGAAUCUGAAGUUUUAAGACUCGAGUAACUUAAAGCGAGCAAGAUGAAAGACCUUGUU